GACGAACGCUGGCGGCGUGCUUAACACAUGCGAGUCGAACGGAAAGGCCCUGCUUUUGUGGGGUGCUCGAGUGGCGAACGGGUGAGUAACACGUGAGUAACCUGCCCUUGACUUUGGGAUAACUUCAGGAAACUGGGGCUAAUACCGGAUAGGAGCUCCUGCUGCAUGGUGGGGGUUGGAAAGUUUCGGCGGUUGGGGAUGGACUCGCGGCUUAUCAGCUUGUUGGUGGGGUAGUGGCUUACCAAGGCUUUGACGGGUAGCCGGCCUGAGAGGGUGACCGGCCACAUUGGGACUGAGAUACGGCCCAGACUCCUACGGGAGGCAGCAGUGGGGAAUAUUGCACAAUGGGCGGAAGCCUGAUGCAGCAACGCCGCGUGCGGGAUGACGGCCUUCGGGUUGUAAACCGCUUUCGCCUGUGACGAAGCGUGAGUGACGGUAAUGGGUAAAGAGGCACCGGCUAACUACGUG
rnacentral:rRNA from 1 species